CGGCAGGCUUACACAUGCAGUCGAGGGGUACGAUGGCUUCGGCCAGGCGACGACCGGCGAACGGGUGCGUAACGCGUAUGCAACUUACCUCUAACUGAGGCAUAGCCCGAAGAAAUUCGGAUUAAUACUUCAUAAUAUCCUAAAUUCGCAUGUUUUUAGGAUUAAAGCUCCGGCGGUUAGAGAUGGGCAUGCGUGCCAUUAGUUUGUUGGUGAGGUAACGACUCACCAAGACUGCGAUGGCUAGGGGGUCUGAGAGGAUGGUCCCCCACACUGGUACUGAGACACGGACCAGACUCCUACGGGAGGCAGCAGUGAGGAAUAUUGGUCAAUGGGCGCAAGCCUGAACCAGCCAUGCCGCGUGCAGGAUGAAUGCCCUACGGGUUGUAAACUGCUUUUCUACAGGAAGAAACCCUCGAACGUGUUCGGGAUUGACGGUACUGUAGGAAUAAGCAUCGGCUAACUCCGUGCCAGCAGCCGCGGUAAUACGGAGGAUGCAAGCGUUAUCCGGAUUUAUUGGGUUUAAAGGGUGCGUAGGCGGAAUAAUUAGUCAGUGGUGAAAUCCUGCGGCUCAACCGUAGAACUGCCAUUGAUACUGUUAUUCUUGAGUACAGUCGAGGUGGGCGGAAUGUGUAAUGUAGCGGUGAAAUGCUUAGAUAUUACACAGAACGCCAAUUGCGAAGGCAGCUCACUAAGCUGUUACUGACGCUGAGGCACGAAAGCGUGGGGAGCGAACAGGAUUAGAUACCCUGGUAGUCCACGCUGUAAACGAUGAUCACUCGUUGUUGGCGAUACACUGUCAGCGACUGAGCAAAAGCAUUAAGUGAUCCACCUGGGGAGUACGGUCGCAAGAUUGAAACUCAAAGGAAUUGACGGGGGCCCGCACAAGCGGAGGAACAUGUGGUUUAAUUCGAUGAUAC
rnacentral:rRNA from 1 species